UGCCCAACAAUUCACUCAGGACUAGCUUGGGAGACACUGAAAGCCUGGCUGCUGAUUUGGUUUUCUCUCCCUGGCACCAACAUCAGAGAACUCGCCCCAGUUCUGACAAAGCUCUUUGAUGAAAGAUACCACGGCUGAUGAUGGAGUCGGCAGCAGUUGAGGAGGGAGAAGAAAUGAGAGAGAAAUCGCCAUCCCGUUCUUUGGUAUACUUGGGGCUAAGUGACUUGUCCAGGGUCACACAGCUAGCAC